rnacentral:rRNA from 1 species
AAUCAACGCUGGCGGCGCGCCUAACACAUGCAAGUCGAACGAGAAAGUGGAGCAAUCCAUGAGUAAAGUGGCGUACGGGUGAGUAACACGUGGAUAAUCUGCCCUUUAGUGGGGAAUACCGUUGGGAAACCGACGACAAUACCGCAUAAUCUCGAGAGAGGAAAGCAGCAAUGCGCUGAAGGAGGAGUCCGCGGUCGAUUAGCUAGUUGGUGAGGUAAUGGCUCACCAAGGCUGUGAUCGAUAGCCGGCCUGAGAGGGCACACGGCCACACUGGCACUGAAACACGGGCCAGACUCCUACGGGAGGCAGCAGUGGGGAAUCUUGCACAAUGGGGGAAACCCUGAUGCAGCGACGCCGCGUGAGCGAUGAAGCCCUUCGGGGUGUAAAGCUCUUUCGGCAGGGAAGAUAAUGACGGUACCUGCAGAAGCAGCUGCGGCUAACUACGUGCCAGCAGCCG